UUGGGUGAUUCUGCCUGAUGAGGUUAUCCAAGAUCGCUCCUGAGAAGGUGAAACUGGUGAACCACAAGGCCCUUGUCGACAGCUUCAGUAAGCCCACUUUCAGUAACAUCAAAACAAGAAAUAUACAGAUAGUAAUCCUUGACGGACAAUCUUAAUUGUAUUCUUUUGUAUUUUUUUGGUUACUACACUGCACCUGAGCUGUAUAGAAACAAAGUGUUCGACAUGAGUACGCAUACACAUUCGGCUUCAUCCUUUAUAAGGCUGGCCUUGUGUUCAGAUGGAAGUUUUGCACAAACAAUCUUUUCAUAUCCCAUUACGACCAUGGAGUUCUGUUGCAAGAAUACUUGACAAUGUUUUUUCCUUUAACUAUAGAGGUAGUAUCCCACAUUUAUUUUUCUUUUGUCUGCAUUAUCAAUAAGCUUCCAUGGUUAACGAUUUUUUUUCCUUCCACUAGAGAGGAAUGGAUCCGCAAGUUUUCUUUUUGUGGUGAUUUUGUUUUGGUGCGUUAUCAAUCAGAUUCCAUAGUAAUUAGUGGAGUUGAAGGGAUCCCGACGUUUCCAUUUUUGGUGCUAACCAAUCAGAUCUCCGGCUGGCAUAGUAGCUUAUGAGCACACGUACCCAGCAGCAUCAAAGGAGUACUCGGUUUCAGAGUUAAUUUCUGUAAGUCUGGCACACCUAAAUACUCAUUUGAUUCACUGCUGGGUGUUGAAUAAAAACUAGAAAAGGGAGGAGCAACUCAAGCGAAUAGAAGGUAGAGGAAUGAACAAGUAGGCAGGGAUUGGAGGCCGAUCCUCCAAGGCAACAUCAAGGUAAAGUCAUUAAACUGAAUUUGUGGCACCAAUGAAUAUAUGAACUGGCUUGUUAAGACCAACUUAUCUGAACUGAUGUGUGAAAAGCGGGACAGUGACGAAAUGCCAGGAACUCAAAUGGAAAGACAAUUGUAAAAUACAUUCCGAAACACUCACAUUGAUUUACACUUUUUAGAGCUAAUUCAAAAUUAAUCCUUCUGAAUGUGGCGAAAACACGCUUUACUUCACACUACAUUUUACUGAAGAGGCUCAUGAUCAACAUGUUGGGACCGUGAGUACACAGUGGAAAGGAAAGGCAAAGGUUGGUGAUCGACAUGCCAGAACAACAACAGAUCUGGUUACUUUACAAUCAAGGAUGGUGUUCUUUGAUAUCAGGGUCGACAUUGCAAUCAUGAAGCCGUUCUAUUUGCUUAUCAAAUUCGGCGACAAGGAGAUAAAGGAUGUGAUGAAAAAGAGAGAUCUCCCUCACAAGGGAGGUUUCCCCAAGGUUAUGCAGGUCAUUCAAGGGAAGCAGUAAGCUGUAACAAUACGGGCCAACUCGUGGAGACUAUGAGCAUCAACAUGCUAAAUGGAGGAACUGAAAAGGGAGAGGGAAGGGAGAUUUAUAGAAGAAGAGAGAGAAUCAGUUCUAUUACUGUAUGGAUGGAAACCUCACGCCAUCUUGUCCAACACAUUUCUGCAUUGCAACAAUUAUUUGAUUGCUAA